rnacentral:rRNA from 1 species
GUCGUCAGCUCGUGUCGUGAGAUGGUUAGGGUUAACGUCCCGACAACGAGCGACAACCUUGUCAUUAGUUGCUACAUUUAGUUGGGCACUCUAAUGAGACUGCCGGUGACAAACCGGAGGAAGGUGGGGAUGACGUCAAGUCCUCAUGGCCCUUAUAGGUGGGGCUACACACGUCAUACAAUGGCUGGUACAAAGGGUUGCCAACCCGCGAGGGGGAGCUAAUCCCAUAAAGCCAGUCGUAGUCCGGAUCGUAGUCUGCAACUCGACUGCGUGAAGUCGGAAUCGCUAGUAAUCGUGGAUCAGAAUGUCACGGUGAAUACGUUCCCGGGUCUU